GCAAACUUGGUCAUUUAGAGGAAGUAAAAGUCGUAACAAGGUUUCCGUAGGUGAACCUGCGGAAGGAUCAUUACAGAUUCCUCCUUAAUACGUUGGAGCAUACACCGCUGACCCACGUGUUCCUUCCCCGACGGGGAGGAUCGUGUUGAGGUUACGGUUUAUGUGUUCACUUUAUCACCCACUGUGAAAACACUGUCUUUGCUUCGGCAGCGCUGAACGGGCAACCGUGAAGGUAAGGCUGUCAGAGGCCAAUCGCAAAACUGUUGGAUGAAAUUUCAUGCUGUCUGAUAAACCUUUUGCCUGAGAAAUCGGAAGAAAAAAAAAUCAAUAUUAAAACUUUCAGCAACGGAUCUCUUGGUUCCCGCAUCGAUGAAGAACGCAGC
rnacentral:misc_RNA from 1 species